rnacentral:rRNA from 1 species
GAUGAACGCUGGCGGCGUGCCUAAUACAUGCAAGUCGAGCGAACAGACGAGGAGCUUGCCCCUCUGACGGUAGCGGCGGACGGGUGAGUAACACGUGGAUAACCUAUCUAUAAGACUGGGAUAACUUCGGGAAACCGGAGCUAAUAUCGGAUAAGAUAUUGAACCGCAUGGUCCAAUAGUGAAAGACGGUUUUGCUGGCACGUAUAGAUGGAUCCGCGCCGCAUUAGCUAGGUGGUAAGGUAACGGCUUACCAAGGCAACGAUGCGUAGCCGACCUGAGAGGGUGAUCCGCCACCCUGGAACUGAGACACGGUCCAGACUCCUGCGGUAGGCAGCAGUACGGACUCUUCCGCGAUGGGCGAGAGCCUGACGGAGCAACGCCGCGUGAGUGAUGAAGGUCUUCGGAUCGUAGAGCUCUGUAAUUAGUAAAGUACAAAUGUGUAUGUAACUAUGCACGUCUUGACGGUACCUGAUCAGAAAGCCACGGCUAACUUCGUG